UUGGUACAUUCACAAACUCCUGUAUCUUAGCUUUCACUGGAUGUCUGACAAGGCAAAUCAUCUUCGUUUGACAAAGAAGAAUCUGCCAAAAAGAGGACUUGCUUCUUUCAAGUUUGUGUGCUUGUCUUGGGGGAGAGCAAAGAAAAGGAAAGGAAAAGGAGAGCCAUGGAGACUAUUCAAUGCAGCCACCAAGCUUUGGAAGAAAACCCCUGAAGACAGUACAAAGUGCGGCCACCACAAGCAAUGUGGGAUGGGAGCCCCUAGAGCUGGGAGCAGAGGAGUGAAUGUGACCUGACAUGAAGAGUACUUCAUUUCAGCUGUGUGAACUUGGACCCAAGUUUUAAUCUCUGUAAAUCUGUUUCCUCAUCUAUAAAAUAGUGAAAAGUAUUUGACCUCAUGAAGCUGUUGUGAUGAUUAAAGCAGAUAUAUGUGCAAAACAUUUACCAACGA